GUCUACCGCCAUGCCACCCUGAAUGUGCCCAAUCUCGCCUGAUCUCAGAAGCUAAGCAGGAUCAGUCCCAGUUAGUACUUGGAUGGGAGACCACCUAGGAAUACCAGGUGCUACAGGCA
rnacentral:rRNA from 1 species